AAGGUCCUCUGGAUUGUAAACUUCUUUUAUUUGGAAGGAAACCCAAACGAGUUUCUUAUUUGUUGGUUGACGGUACAGAUGAAUAAGCACCGGCUAACUCCGUGC
rnacentral:rRNA from 1 species